CCCUUUUUGUUCUUUUUCGGAUCUUGGACCAUAGCUCUUCCAAUGAAUAGGUAAACACGAUCUUACUUGAUGACCAAAUAAGAUCUCAUUUGGUGAUCUUUCAUCUGCCUUUGGAGUGUUUCGAAACUCCAGAAUUCCACCAUAUCCAUUACUUUUUAGAGAAUAGGGUGAAGAAGGUCCCCAUGUUACUCCCCACACCUUCAAGAAUGGCUAAAAAUUCCCCGGAACUAAACGGAGGGCCUUGAUCUGUUCUUAUUUUCACUGGAAUCCCGGUUUCAGAAAAUAUUUUUCUUAAUGUCACUAUUACUUCUCCCGAAGAUGGAAUGCUUUUGAAUUCCUCUACAUAUAGAUAUCCUGAAAGGCGAUCUCACUAUAACAAGUAAUGGUUUCCUCCAUAGUCAAACAAAUCUACAGAUGUGCUCUCAAAUGGCCUCAUUGGUAUGGGGUCCCUCAUCAUCGUUUUUCUGGUUAACUAGGCCAAUAAAUCGUCUGCCUAGCUCUUUUUUUCGUCUUCUCGAUAUCUUGAUGUGAACUGUGCAAUCCCUGAAGAACUUGAACUUGCCCUCUUUUGGAAUUACCAGCCUAUUACCAUAUAAAACAACAAGACCCUUUUCAGUAAUUAAAUCAUUUAAUAUCUUGGAAAAUGGUUGUACUGAAUCGUUUAUACAAUUGUCUUCAACUCCAUUGACUAAAUAUUAAUAUGUUUGAUCUUUCAUUGCCUCUUUUCUAAUAUCUUCUAUUAUUGGAUCAACGAAUCUUUCUUCAUCUUCGAAAUGAGUAGCUCUAAUAGCAGCAACUUUAAUAACUUGUCUUCUGCGAUAUUCAACAUCUCCAUCGAACUCUUCGUCUUCCUCGGAAUGAGACACCGGUGAUCUCGAUAAUGCAUCUGGUACUUCACGAUAUUUCCCCUUUAUCCAUUUCGUUUCAAAUAAAUACAUUGAUAUUUUCAAUUUAAAUCUAAUUAGUCUAACAUUAUCUAGUUUAUCUAUGGUGUAAUUAUUAAGAAUAGGAACAAGUGGUUUAUGAUCCGUAAUUACACUAAAUGUAGCACUUGAUAAAAAUCGGGAGCCAUAUUGAAUUAAUUUCUAUUCUUCUUUGUGCUUCUGACAUAACACAUAUCCUAAUCCAUUUAUUCUUGAU
rnacentral:lncRNA from 1 species